CCUACGGGUGGCAGCAGUGAGGAAGAUUGGUCAAUGGGCGUAAGCCUGAACCAGCCAAGUCGCGUGAGGGAUGAAGGUUCUAUGGAUCGUAAACCUCUUUUAUAAGGGAAGAAAGUGUGGGACGUGUCCGAUGUUGUAUGUACCUUAUGAAUAAGGAUAGGCUAACUCCGUGCCAGCAGCCGCGGUAAUACGGAGGAUCCGAGCGUUAUCCGGAUUUAUUGGGUUUAAAGGGUGCGUAGGCGGCCUGUUAAGUCAGCGGUGAAAGUCGGUGGCUCAACCAGAGAAUUGCCGUUGAAACUGGUGGGCUUGAUUAUGUUUGAGCCAGGCGGACUGCGUGGUGUAGCGGUGCACUGCUUCGAUCUCACGCAGAACCCCGAUUGCGCCGGCAGCCUGCCACGCCAUGACUGACGCUGAUGCACUAACGCGUG
rnacentral:rRNA from 1 species